rnacentral:SRP_RNA from 1 species
GCUGGGCAUGGUGGUGCGUGCCUGUAAUCCCAGUUACUCGGGAGGCUGAGGCAGGAGACUUGCUUGAACCCGGGAGGUGGAGGUUGCAGUGAGCCAAGAUUGUGCCACUGCACUCCACCCUGAGCCACAGAGUAAGACUCUGUCUCCA